UGGGGAAUUUUGGACGAAUUGGGCGAAAGGCCUGAAUCCAGCAAUGCCGCGUGUGUGAAGAAGGCCUUCGGGUUGUAAAGCACUUUUGUCCGGAAAGAAAUCCUUGGCUCUAAUACAGUCGGGGGAGUGACGGUACCGGAAGAAUAAGCACCGGCUAACUACGUGCCAGCAGCCGCGGUAAUACGUAGGGUGCAAGCGUUAAUCGGAAUUACUGGGCGUAAAGCGUGCGCAGGCGGUUUGCUAAGACCGAUGUGAAAUCCCCGGGCUCAACCUGGGACUGCAUUGGUGAUCUGGCAGGCUAGAGUAUGGCAGAGGGGGGUGAGAAUUCCACGUGUAGCAGUGAAAUGCGUAGAGAUGUGGAGGAAUACCGAUAGCGAAGGCAGCCCCCUGG
rnacentral:rRNA from 1 species